AACAUAGGUACCGAGCGUUAUCCGGAUUUACUGGGCGUAAAGCGUGUUCAGGCGGCCUGGCAAGUCGGGCAUGAAAUCUCUCGGCUCAACCGAGAGAGGCUGUCCGAUACUGCUGGGCUUGAGGACGGUAGAGGGUGGUGGAAUUCCGCGUGUAGUGGUGAAAUGCGUAGAUAUGCGGAGGAACACCAGUGGCGAAGGCGGCCACCUGGACCGUCCCUGACGCUCAAACACGAAAGCUAGGGUAGCGAACGGG
rnacentral:rRNA from 1 species